AGAGGCACGGCUCAGAGGGAAGAGAGCCUACCUUGCAAGCAUGAAGCCCUGAGUUCAAAUCUCAGUACCACCA
rnacentral:tRNA from 1 species